rnacentral:lncRNA from 1 species
ACGUUUGUGAGUCCCUGCUGUGUUGUCACCCUUGGAACCCUUCUCCACCAGUCUAGCUGAACUCGAGGACAUCUGCCCUAUCCUGGUUGCUUUAGCGCCUGGAUCAGGGAAUCCUCUUCCCUGUCCUUGAGCUCUAGCCCUGGUUUCUUUGCAUGUGUGGGGGUGGUCUUCGUGCCUUCAGGUUUGUGUAGCUUCCCUCCCCAGCCCCUGGGUUUGCCCUAUCCCAGCGCCUUGCAUGCCAUGUCCCUGCGCAUGGUGACCAAAUCCACCUGAUUGUUCACCUCACCAUGGCCAGGGAUCCUCGACGGGGUUUUCAGCCGCGUUGUGCUCGUCCCAUAAUCUCCAGAGGUCAGUGAUGCUCACCAGAUUUCCCUUUUUAAUGCUGUAGUUGUUUGCUGGAUGGAACAAGGUUGCGCCACUGUGUAUUGGCGCCAGGGACAGCCAUCACAUUGACCCAUUCACCCGCGCCAUUUCCGGUCAAGUUCACACGCGCACCAUAGGUUUAUGUGAUCGCUGAAGCUCUCUGAGUCCUUAGUCGGAGCUCUACCGCACGGGUUCACGGGAUCGAGCUUUCGGGCUGAGCUUGCCGCACCGCCGUCGAAAGCUCGGUUUUAGGAUCUCCAUGAGACAAACAUUAUGGGGUGUCUAAAUUGGUAAGCUCUCUGGUAAAUGUGUUGUUGGGAUCUUUAGUGCAGUUUACAAAUGUUAAGUAAUUUAGUGUGCUCUAAAAAGGAUUAAUUGAAUAUUUAGGGAGCAAUUAUGAGCACCAAAAAUUGUGAAAACUUGUGGAGAGUCUUGUUAUCAGAAGAUAAACUCUUGGUAAAAGUUUGAGGCUGUUUGUAAGCCAUUUGCUCAGAAAUCCUUGUAGAGUCCCUAAUUGGAAUAAUAAGGAGAACAUAAUCACAUGUGGAUUAGAACUUUGGAAGAAGGAACAAGUUUAACAAGUGAAACCUGAUCUUUGGAUAAAGAAGCAAGAGUGCCUAGUGGUAUCUAGAUUUUUGGCGUAGUUUGAAGAUUGUUCUAAUCCUCUAGAUGUUCAAGUUGUAGGAUUCAAGUCAAAGAAGUAAGUCCUUACUUAAUGCAAGCAUAGAGUGCUUGGUUUUGGAGGCAGAAUUCCCUGGUGUGGUUCGAGAGCUUAGUGAUGAUAUUAGAAUGUUUAGCUCCCCUGUUGUUUGGUUAGUUUUGUGUGCACCUUUAGUAAGGUGUAGUUUGUACUGCUUUAAAGUAUCUUCUUUGUAGUUGCAUAAGUAUAUGCAUUCAUGUUCAUAUCAUUUCAUGUAGAGCUCCCAAAAUAAAGAGUGAAGAUUCAAGAUGAAGUGGUUGCUAAAGAGGAGUCUACUCCAAUGCCUGCUUAUCAAGUGGAUGGAGCUAUCUAACUAAAGGUUGGGUAGAAGGAUUUUGGGAUCUUCUCCUGCAACAAGGCAAGCCCCGGUGCAUUUGCCACCCUCCUUGUAUUUACAAAAUUUUAUCACUUAUAUGAUGCAUUAGGUGAUAGGAGUUGAUUGAUUAAACACUUGAUGCAUUACCAUUCCUUGAAAGAAUUGAUUACCACACCUUGUCACCUGUUUUAUAAAAGCUAGAGAUGCUUAGUCAUGCUGAUAGACUAAGAAAAAUAUUUUUGAUCUGUGACUCAUGUUUUUACAAAAAGAAAAUGGGCUUGGGAUAAUGAAGGCAUCAAGACGUUGAUAAAUUCAUUAUCCAGGCAUGGCCCCUCUGUCAGGCGCCAAAGUUUUGAAAUAGCUUAAAAUGGGACCAGACGUUGAGCAGGAAAGGUCGCCCGUCUGUGUCGAUUAAGGACCGUACCGAUUGUUGGCCUGAUGAUCUAGGACCUUUUAACUGGCCACAUACCUCGUCAUGGGUAAGCCUGAACCCGGCUAUUCCAUACGUGAAAAGACAACCGCGCACUGGGCGUGGGAGAUGGUGGGAGUAGCAGUUACCCUCCUGGCAAGAGGCUGAAUGGUAGGGUAAUGUGCUCCCGGGUAGCGCGGACCAGUUCAUGUAGUGGAGGAUCCGUGGGAAUGGUUGACAUAUGCAAGGGUUAAGUGCUACAUAUGUCGUGUGGUUGGAGAUCCCCAGCUGGGUAUUAAUCGAUUCGGAUCGCCAUUACUUCUCGGAUAUGAAGACUGGAUCGCUGCCCUUCAUCGUAGAUAACAAGCGAAACAAAAAUUUGGAUUUUAAAAGCAACCUAGUGUAGGUCAAGUGAAUGAUCUAGAUUAGGAAAAUGCUAGAUUCAGGCUAGAAGAUUCAGGUAAUAAACUAACUCGUGAAAUAAAACUUGGCUUAAGGAGCCACUUCUAGUAAGCUUUUCUGCAAAAUGAGUCCUUGAACUUUGAUGAGCUUUACCUUGAUUCCCAAAAGCCAUCAUACCCUUGAGAGUCUUUUCUUUAGUCGGGUAAGUCUUGUUGAGUAAUUGCAUACUCAGGGUUUUAUCCCUUGUUGUUUUUGUAGGUGAAGUUUUAUUCCCUUAUCUUUGGGUUAGUUACUUCAUGUGGAUGACUUGAAGCUUAGAAUGUUUCUAUAUAUCUCUUAUGGAAAGGCUUCACCCUUCCAAUUAUUGUAAUAAGUUAUGCACUUCGAGUACUAUCAGGACUUGAAAUAAAUACAUCUCUUUCUACCAUGUAAAGCUUGAGUUCUGGAAUGUAAAGUGUACUUUGUAAAAGUCUUCCGCUCGAUCUCCAAUGUGUGUGUAUCAAAUGUGAUUACUGUAAUAUACCUG